GCNGGCGGUCAGGAAAGUCUGGAGUAAAAGGCUAUGGCUCAACCAUAGUGUGCUCUGGAAACUNUCUGACUUGAGUGCAGAAGGGGAGAGUGGAAUNCCAUGUGUAGCGGUGAAAUGCGUAGAUAUAUGGAGGAACACCAGUGGCGAAAGCGGCUCUCUGGUCUGUCACUGACGCUGAGGCUCGAAAGCGUGGGUAGCGAACAGGAUUAGAUACCCUGGUAGUCCACGCCGUAAACGAUGAGUGCUAGGUGUUAGGCCCUUUCCGGGGCUUAGUGCCGGAGCUAACGCAAUAAGCACUCCGCCUGGGGAGUACGACCGCAAGGUUGAAACUCAAAGGAAUUGACGGGGGCCCGCACAAGCGGUGGAGCAUGUGGUUUAAUUCGAAGCAACGCGAAGAACCUUACCAGGUCUUGACAUCCCGAUGCUAUUCUUAGAGAUAGGAAGUUACUUCGGUACAUCGGAGACAGGUGGUGCAUGGUUGUCGUCAGCUCGUGUCGUGAGAUGUUGGGUUAAGNCCCGCAACGAGCGCAACCCUUAUUGUUAGUUGCCAUCAUUAAGUUGGGCACUCUAGCGAGACUGCCGGUAAUAAACCGGAGGAAGGUGGGGAUGACGUCAAAUCAUCAUGCCCCUUAUGACCUGGGCUACACACGUGCUACAAUGGUCGGUACAACGAGUUGCGAGCCGGUGACGGCAAGCUAAUCUCUGAAAGCCGAUCUCAGUUCGGAUUGGAGGCUGCAACUCGCCUCCAUGAAGUCGGAAUCGCUAGUAAUCGCGGAUCAGCACGCCGCGGUGAAUACGUUCCCGGGCCUUGUACACANCGCCCGUCACACCACGAGAGUUUGUAACACCC
rnacentral:rRNA from 1 species